GGAUGAACGCUGGCGGCGUGCCUAAUACAUGCAAGUCGAGCGAACGGACGAGAAGCUUGCUUCCCUGAUGUUAGCGGCGGACGGGUGAGUAACACGUGGAUAACCUACCUAUAAGACUGGGAUAACUUCGGGAAACCGGAGCUAAUACCGGAUAAUAUUUUGAACCGCAUGGUUCAAAAGUGAAAGACGGUCUUGCUGUCACUUAUAGAUGGAUCCGCGCUGCAUUAGCUAGUUGGUAAGGUAACGGCUUACCAAGGCAACGAUGCAUAGCCGACCUGAGAGGGUGAUCGGCCACACUGGAACUGAGACACGGUCCAGACUCCUACGGGAGGCAGCAGUAGGGAAUCUUCCGCAAUGGGCGAAAGCCUGACGGAGCAACGCCGCGUGAGUGAUGAAGGUCUUCGGAUCGUAAAACUCUGUUAUUAGGGAAGAACAUAUGUGUAAGUAACUGUGCACAUCUUGACGGUACCUAAUCAGAAAGCCACGGCUAACUACGUG
rnacentral:rRNA from 1 species